UUACUAGAUGAGUGUGCGUGGACUGAACGUCUUUUUUCUAUCUUUGGUGCGGUCAGUCUCGCGAAACUGUAUCUUCUAUUGAUUUCUAGAACAAAACAAAACUCUUGAAUUGCAUGGUCAGUGUGCAGACUUUUCAUCCGUACAGCACAUUGUACUUGUAUUCAUUCUUUAUAAAAUGAGUAACGAAGACAGCUGGAUGUCGAUAGCAACAGUGUUGCUCGAUCUUACUGUACUGUGUAUAUUCUAGUGUCUACUGUACGACAGCAGGCAUCACUAGGAUCAGAGGUAAAAGGCUUGAUACAACAAUCAUGAAUGGUACAAUUAAGACAUUUUAAAUUCAAUUUAGAGGUUAUUCUGUACUAGGAAACUGCCACUGCAUUUGGUCAGCUGUGCUCGUCUUUUGUCGGCUCGUUGGGGUGCAUCUGAACGUUGCAAUGGUUACUUGAUCGAGAUACGGGCAGUCUAACUUGUUGAAUUGGCAGUCAUGUCAAAGCAGUGUGCUUGUUGUCAAAGAAAGGCUGCAUGGGUACCUGUAUACCUCAUCAGUCAACAGAGCGGUCAGAUCAACCUCUUAAGGUCUGAGGAAAGAUGUCACUGGUCACCUUUGUCAGUGAUGGUCAGAGAUCACUAAUCAGGAGGAACUUAAACGUCAAAGAUGUGAAACUUAUAGUCAUGUGUACAAGUCACUGGUAGCAAUUAAGAAAUCACAUACAGCACUGUAUAUGAAGUUUGCAAGGUAUGUGAUUUUAUUGCUACGUGUGUGCAAUGACUCAGCAUGGAACCUGGGACUGAAAAAGACAGACGCCAACUACCUGCUGACUGACAAUUGCUGUGCAAUUAUUUGUCAGAUCUUCAGUGAUGUUUGGAGAAGUAAAUCGUCAGCAGGUUCUAGGACUUCGUGCAGGCUGGCUUAGUUGGAUGUCACAUUACUUCAUCUUGCUUUCUCUUGCUUUGUGUAUGUGGUUGCUAAUUAAAUAAACACAAAUGUGCUUGCCAGAUUUCUGAUUUUCUUGUUUGUUAUCUAGCAUACUACCUACUACCUACUGUGCCAUUUUGUUUUAUUAUAUCUACAUCUACAUUUUUAGUUAUAGUAUCACGUU